rnacentral:misc_RNA from 1 species
UCGUAUAACCGAGGUACUAGGGCUGUCGCUGACCCUUCGAAGGGUCGUGCACGCCCAAGUGCUCUCUCGCAUAUCCAUCCCACCCCUUUGUGCAUUGCCGCGUGGGUCCCCUUUUGGCUUGUUCCGAGGGGGACCUGCGUUUUUACAUAGACACCCUUUGAAUGCAUGUGUAGAAUGUUUCAUUUGCGGUCACACGCAAUCAAUA